AUAUCCACCCAAAAUCAAGAAUUUUUAUCCUUUUCGCUUCUGGGGUUUCAAAAUUCUUGAUCUUUUUACCAAAUUCAAGCAAAAAAAUGGUGGGUGGGUCUGAAUUGGAAGAUUGGUUCUUGAUCUUUUUAUCAUUCUUGAUCCUCACAACAUGUUGUCAAGCUGGAAAUCAACAAACCAUUUUCACUGUGGUUGGUUUGGGGUCACGUGCAACACACCUGGUAGGGUUUCUGAGUUGAGGUUAUUUGGAGACUCAUGGAGUAUUGAACGCGGUUAAUUGGGGAGUGUUGAUGCCCAUGGGGGCUAUGGCUGCAAGAUAUUUGGUGAUUGAGAGCGGUGGAGGUUGAGAGAGGUGGUUGGUGAUGGCUUUUGGUGGCAGUGGAGAGAGGGUUCAAAUAAUGGAAUCAAUUUUGAUUCUGUAGCUGAUCUUGUACAUAUCUGGCUAGUGAACUGUCGGAAUCCACCAGGACCAUGACGGGGUGGCGGUGGUUAUGGGUUUGGAUAAUGACGGGUGGUGGUGGUUAUGGGUGGGUAGGAGGUCGCCGAAAAAACGAAAGUGGGGCGGAAAGGUGGAGGGUUGUGGUGGUGGGUGGUCGGAAAGGGAGGAGGUUGGGUGGGAGGUUGCCGGCAAAUGGCCGGAAAGGAUGGAGGUGGGUUGGGUGACGGACGUUAAAGAAUCAUUGGAGGGUAGGUCGCCGAAAAUUUGGUCCUCGUGUUUUAAUUUUAAAAUAAAUUAUUUGAGUUUUAUUAGUGUUUUAAUUAUUUUUGAGUUAAUUGCCCGGAUGGUCUCUAUGUAGUUUGCUAUUUUUUCACCUUUAGUUCCCAACUUUCUAAAAUUAUAUCUAUGUUUCCUAUGGUUUGAUCGUUUGUUACUAGGAUAGUCCCCCGAGUGGAUGUUUGUUAGUUUGCUCAGUUAAGUUGGUAUAAAAGUAAUAAAUUACCCUUACAGUAAUAAUUAAUACAAUAUAAAAAUUCUGAUAACUUAAGUGGGGCCCACCCCCCACCACUACCUAACCCUUCUUCUUCUCCACACCUCACCACCCGUUUCUGCUGCCUCCACCCACACAACAAUCAAAUCAAAACCCACCAACACCGUCCAAUCAGGUUUCUGAAAUCGUCAAAGAGACUUAACAGAGGUUAUACAAAGAAAAUGGGUAUAAACCAGAUGCAGAUAAUGGCGAUUAUGAUGCCAGGGAUGGGGUUGAAGACCGACGGGAAGUGUGCAGAUGGCAGAUGAGGUAGUGGUGGGGUGAACGACGGUGUUGGAUGGUAGUUAAGGUGACGGGGAGGCGGUGGUUAUGGUUUUGGACGGAGGUGAGCGUUGGUCAGGAGUGGUGGUGGCGGAGGAUUACGGAAGGUGUUUGCGGCUGAUGUGUGUAAAAUGCAACAUAUAAAUUACAUCAAAUGAGGCAUAAAACUAACCCUUUUUAAGUACUAAUGUUGAAAAAAGUGUGUUUUUGUCUUCCUUUUGUAUUUUCAGGAUUAA